UACGAAGGGUGCAAACGUUGCUCGGAAUUAUUGGGCGUAAAGCGCACGUAGGCGGUAUUGCGAGUCGGAUGUGAAAUCCCUCGGCUUAACCAAGGAAGUGCAUCCGAAACUGCUGUACUUGAGUACGAAAGAGGAUCGCGGAAUUCCCGGUGUAGAGGUGAAAUUCGUAGAUAUCGGGAGGAACACCAGUGGCGAAGGCGGCGAUCUGGGUCGAUACUGACGCUGAGGUGCGAAAGCGUGGGGAGCAAACAGG
rnacentral:rRNA from 1 species